GGGUGUGGGGAUGCAACGUGCGGGACGGAGAUGCCGACAGCACCCGGGCGUCGCUCCUGCCGCGCUGUGCUCGUGGUGCAGAGCUCCGGCCCUGCCCUGCUCUCACGAGAGCACCAGCACGGCCUCCCAGCGGGUCGCAGCGGGGCCCAGGAGGCAGCAGCGGCCCAGGAGGCAGCAGGGCUCGGCAGGGCCGGGCAUACAGCUCUGCCAGCAGCACCAGGCGGCACUGCAGCACGGCUCCGGGCCCAGCUGAGAGGCCCCGGUGGGAAGGCCCGGCCUGCGCGGGAGGGACCAGUGCUGCCAGCCAGGAGGCCGCCAUUCCUCCUGGCAGCGGCACACUGCGGUGGCACGGAGCUGAUGGGGCAGGACAGCCCGUUCCCGGACUUUCACUGAAACCCCAGGGACGGCUGCUCCGCACCUUCCAUCGGAACAUACAUCAGGGAUGGGAAUCCUGACCUCUGCCCCUGCGGGUCCUUACAGACUGCGGUAACAGACAAGUGCAGGAGGUGGCUCAGACCCCUGGCCCGAUGUCUCUUGUGUCAGAGGGAGCUCUUUCAUGUGUGUGCUCUUCCCUCUGCCAACGGACGUGUCCUCAGAAGUGGAGAUCCUGCCAGCAAGCACAGGCUGAGAGCCAGCUUACUCAGCUUUGCUUCUCCGAACGUGUGUGAAAAGGCUGAGACUGUGUGUGGAGAUGCAUGCACUACAGUUAUCAUCUGACUUUCUGUAACGGCUUUCCAAUUCUGCCCUUUUCUGUUUGUAUCUCCCCUCGAGUCUGUUUACAGCUCUCUCCCCCAUGGCACACUGGGGGCAGGGGCGGAGUGAGCGAACGGCCGGGUGCUGCUCAGCUGCCUGCCGGGUGAAACCACAGCGUGUGGCAGCGUGCCUGCACCUGUGUGCCUGUGGGGACACGCAUUUUUUCUUCUUAAGUAGACAUGUCAGUCUUUUUAAUUCAUUACUGUAUUUGGGCUUCUGUUUUCUGGUAAACUAAUUUCAUAAGGAUCUCUUUGUGAAGGCCUGCCUCUGCUGUUCUGAGGCCCAGGGACGUGAGCUUUGAUCUUGCUAUGUGCCCUGUUUGGUGCCUUAAGGAUGCUGAACUCCACUGGUGAUUGCACUGCAGCCAAGGCUGCCCUUGAGGUUCCCAUUCUCUGCUUGCCCCUCCAGGUGAGAGAGAGCUCCAGCACAGCACUUCUGCUCGUAUGCUCCUCUAUCACUAGGAGGAGGAACAUGUCAUCAGUGUAUAGGAACCGGCUGAAAUGUAUGCCCGGCUGUUCUGUCCCUCCAACAGAUAUUUGGCUUGUUGAUGUCCCCCAGACCUGCUUUGUCCUCUGAGCCUGCUUUGUGCCCUAAUAUGAGGUUUGGCUCCUCUUCUGGCAUCAUGCAUCCCCAGCAUGGGAGCUUGGUACAAUAUUUCCCUGGUAUGAGCCAGCCUUCUUGGGCACUGCAUGUCCUUGAGCUGAGUCUGGAGCUGUGCCCAUGGAGAGUGGGUCCCCACAAGGACAGGAGUAUUCCCAAAUGGGAAAGUUUCCCCUACACAGGGACCUUGUGUUGGCAUCAACUGCAUGCAGCUGCUGUGCCACCUGCAGUGCUGGUGAUAGCACCGUGGCUUUGUGCAUCCGUGAGGUUACAGCCAAGGGGGCUUGGGGCCCUCGCAGGGCCCAGGGACCUACAGAGCUUUGUGUGCACUGAACUGCAGCAUAGUCCUUGAGGGGAAUGUGCCACCUGCAGGGAAAUAUUACAACUGUAUGAACUGAUGCUCCUCUACUUGAGACGCCAGCACAAAGGUAGUUGAUUCGCUCCCUUUCUUUGGUACUCCAGAUGCCUAUAGACUGAAGGAAGAGGCAGGCGCAGGAGGUGACUUGGACCUCUGAUACGAUGUCUCUUGUUUCUGACAGAGCUCUUUAAGUCCCCAUUUCACUGACAAGGGACAUGUUCUCAGAAAUGGUGAUCCUAUCAGCAAGCACAAGGUGAGAGUCAGCUCACUCAGUCAGAUUUACUUAUCAAAACAUCUGGCUGCAAAUUUGUGCUGGUUACUCAGGCUUCCUCUGUUGGCAAGAAAUCAAAUAAAACGGAUGAUUAUAAAUGAUCUAAUGAUUGCAAAUGGACUUCAGAUGUCUCAGACUGACAUUUCUGGCAGUUAAAAAGAGGUGCAAAUUCUUUCAGCUGUGGGUAUGGAAGUACAGUUGAAAACUAUUUUGUUUUUCAGCACAAGGGGAUGGAUGUCCCCUCAGCAAAUCCCCGGGUUAGUGGUAAACUAAGGAAGGGGAGAGGGAGGAAAAGGAAGGCAGUUUGUCGCUACAAAGGCCACAUGUAAGGAUUUGUGUUAGGAGAGUGCUCUUUUAAGAGCUUCUAAUGAAGGGCCUUUUCCAGUGCAACGAUGAAUAAUAAAGGUAGGAAUUGAUGGAAACCGAGUCUGAUCUGUCACACUCAUCAGAGAGGGCACGUGAGCAUGCAGGAGUGUUUAUUCCAGCUGGGCUAACUGAUUGAAGACUUCUGUGUUAUGAUGAUAAGAAGAAGAUGGUAAGAGAACAGUGCUGAGAUGCAGACCUGACAAAGCAAAAAUGAAAACAAUGACAAGAAACAAAUCUCUGGUUGCGCUAGUGGAUCUAGCCACAGGUGCCACUUCCAGGAAAAUCAACUUGGACUUUGCAACCAAUAAGACUGUGAACAAGGGCAGGAGCUGGACUAGGAGGAGUGCAGGCAAACUGCAGAGCUCUGCAAGCCCAUGGUGGGAGCAGGAGAAACAAAGUAGGGAGGAAAGAAGGCUCAGAUGAGUUAUGACAGUGCUGUACAUCCUGAGGAAGCAGAGCUAAUGUAUAUGAAGACUGACAAAGUGGAAAGUAUUUAUAGGAAAAUGAGCCUUCUUGCUUUUCAAUGACAGGAUUAGGUAAGUGUGUUAGCAAUGCAAACUGUAAUGAUCCUGGAGGGUAGCGCUGGCAGCUUCCUGCUGUCCUUCCUCCCUGUCCUGAAUUCUAACUUGUAGUAUAAAGCAAGGAAAAUCCCCUGGUUUCCCAAAGUAAUAAAAAAUUUGCUCUUGCAAAUGAACACUGUGUUUCCCUGUUUGGCUACUGCAGACAUCAGGCAAAAUGUGUUGCCUAAAAAUGAAAUAUUAACCCUUUCUCAAGGAAGAAAAUGAAUGAAGGUUACAUGCUGGUCAAGAAGAGACUCUGCUUCCCAGCCUUAGUUUGGUUGCUUUCACAAAUGCUGUUUUACUCAAUUCCGAUAUUCUCACCUAAGAGGUAAAUAGAAUCUGACUGAGACUAAAGGUCUGCCUGAUUAUAAGGAGCCCUGUGUUGGUGGUGAUGUGGGGGAAAUAGUAGAACUGCUCCUACCAUGCCUUGCCAGAAGAAGGCGCUUCUGAGAGAUCUGGUGGGGAAAAAAGAAAAAAAAAAAAAAAAAAGUUUUCUAGGUUGAUGUAAAGUGAAAACGGUGUCAUUUUUUUUCUUCCUGUUUCUCAGUCUCACGAUGCACUGGUGUUUCUUAGGCUGGAUUUGGCUACAGAGACAAAAUAGUUCUCGCAGUCCCUUGUUCUUCCUUUUCAGCCACCUGAACUUACAGCUUAGUUCCUUUGAGGUUUGUUUUUGUAGGCUUCUGUGUGACUGUCACUGUGAUGUGAUGGGGCAGUUCAGGCUGAAGUUGUUCAGGAAGAACUCCUUUCUCCUGUACUGAGCCACUUCUGGAUCAAGCAGCUUUCUGACCUCUACAGUAAAGCAAGUAGAUACUGAACCCUUCCCACCUGAGGAAGUUUGUGAUGACAUGAGGCCUUGCACACACUAGAAAGAGUAGGAUGCAAAGGAGAAGGGUUUUCAGAGGCAAACACUUGAUAUGAGUGGUCUCCUUCUCUUUCAAGGCUGACAGUUGUGGUCCAUUCUGCUCAUCUGGAAAUGUUCAUGUUUACGGAGGGGGAGGUAGGCCCAGUUGACUCCAAGAAUAUGAAAAGAUGAUGAAGUUAGAGAAGACAUGCCACGUCAACACAGGCUUUUCUAAACAAGUGAGCUUCUGGACAAAUAAAGAAGAUGGAUAAAUGGUGGAGGUAUUUUGUAGAGACUUAUAUUCCAUCUAAACGCUACUCUACACUUCAAACAGUAUGAUCAGUAAACAUUACCUGUCUAUAUUUAACACCAGUCACAAUUGCUGGUAAACUAUGCAUGAGUGGUUCUGGCUCAUUAGGUUUCUUAAAUCCAAAGGUGUUUUUUAAUAGGGCAAUAGGACAGCCUGUUUCUUGUCAGCAGGUCUGAACUGACUGAUCAGAGAGGCAAUGUGAUAUGAGAGUAGGUAUUAAAUGAGAACAAAGUUUAAUGGAAAAAUCCGUUUGACCCUUCUUUCUGAAAUUGUGGCACUUGGGAUAACGAGUGAGCGAAGGGCUGGCUAUAGUGAGAGCAUUAGGGGCAGGGAAAGAAGCAGGAAUUGCCUGUGUCAGGCAGUAUUCACUGCUAAUUAAGACUCAUUAUGGCCAAGGAUGCAGGCAGUUGUGAAUUCCAGUAAAAGACUGGUAGCUUUUGCUGUGUGAUCAUGCGGGACUAGUUCCUCUAGUUGAUUUUACUGACAAGAGUUUCCUGGAUUAAGUAACAAUGCUGCAAUUCUAGCUUAUUUUUCUCCUCGAUCAGGGAAUUUGUGUCUUACAUGGUGACCUCAGUAACAUCCACAUGGUUUAACAUCUGAGCUGCUCCCUCUGCCACCCCAUGAUUUUAGCUGAUGUCAGCCUGUUGCUCAACCUGCACCUCCUGACUGGAGAAAUGCUUUGUAAGAGAAAUCAGUACAGUCACUUCUGCUUUAGGCCUGAUUUAAUAUCUUCACAGCUCAGAAUCCUUGGCAUCUUGGCCAAGUCCUAGGUGUUCAGUGGGAAAAGGGGAGCUGCCCAGGUGGCCCAUUCAGACCAUAGGAAAAUACGUAUUCCCUAAGGGAAAUGGCAUCAGGAAGGGCUGUUUCUGGCAUGAACUGGGGGGGCCAACUCCCGUUGUGGUGGAAGAAUACAGACAUCGUGCCAAUAUCUGCAAUGGUCACCUCUGUGAAGGCCCCAGUAGGACAGUAAGGAGCUGCUACAUAGGGAGAUGUUCAGCCCAUAUGUUUUGUUCCUGAAGAGUUCAGCCUUUGCCAUUCCAGAGUGAGUCCAUAUCUGAAGAAUGUCCGUGAGCUUUCAGAAGCAACCAAGUGCACCAAGCACAAGCAAGGAGUCCAGCCUGUGUGAAGUAUGCGAGGAGCAGAAAUCUGUUUUCUUGUCUGACUGGGAACUUCCUGAUUUGACUGGUUUCAGUCUUGGUCAUUGCUGGCCUAUUGAGACAAGUUUGAUGAAGUGUGUCCAUGCAUGACUGAGCAGGCUUGCUUAUAAGAUCGAGCAACCGAGGAGAGGGACUGACGAUUGAGGUCAGGUUAAGUAUUUCACCAACCUUCCUAAACCUGAAAUGAAGCUGGCAACUGUCCUAGAUGAGAGCCUAUUUGCUAUCUCAUGAGACUGAUAGUAAGAGCUUUUGACUGGAGCCUCUUUCCAGAAUGCUGGCCUAAAUCACAGGACAGUGUUAUCUGAUUGUCAAGGUAUAAGAGCCCGAUGGUCCAUCUGGGUUUAAUGAUUCGUCCUGGUCUAUUCUACACAGAAUCUGCCAGCAUAGUUAGUGCUACAGUCUGAAAAAGCCCAAUGUGACUGCUUAGGAAUGCAUAUACUCCUUUCUGGAGCACCACAUACGUGCAACUGCCUUUCCAGGUGGCUGGCUGCAAGGGCCAGGUGGCUAGUCCUGGGAGUAUUUUUCUGGUUGCUGCAACAUUGGACUAUGCCCAGAGAUAACAACAUCUGAUGAAUUUAUGCACAGUCCUCAUAUCCAAUCCUAUGUUAUAUUACUAGUCAAGUCUUGCCUCAGUAUAGCCUACCGGCACCUUUUCCUUGUUUUAUUUCCCCCUGUCCAGUUAAACCACUAAGACCCAAACUGUCAAAACGGUGUCUUGGCAACGGACAAUAAUUACCAAUAUGAACACGCACAGGCAGGUGGGCAGCCUGACUGGGGUGCAAGGCCAUGGGACAGGGAAGCUUUAGAAGAGCUACAUGGCUGCACCUCAGAUGGCCUCAGCUGACAAGCCAAAGGACAGACAGGAUGGGGGCAUGGUAAAUCUGUCUUAUGGCAGCUACAGUACGUCCACCUCGUACACAAGCUGUAAUAGGAAUAAAAUCUAGAGCUUCUGACUCACAGGUAAUGUAGCCUUCAAAUUAGGAUAAAUGGGGUUGGUACAUGCUAGUAAAUCCACCAAAUUUUGCUUCUGGCCAUGCUGAGCAGGCAGAACUAUUUUAAUGUUAAUUAACGUUGCUCUUCCUCACCCUCAAGCCCCUAAGCACUUUUUCCUACCAACACAUGCCAAGGAAGACAAAUUCAAUUAGAAGGAUAUUCUGAACAAAUUAAAGAAGUGUAACCUCCUGGGGCAGUCAGUUUAGACUGUCUCCGUACAAAAAUAUUUGGGGGGAGGGGGGGCAUAAGAAUUCUAAUCUCUUAGAAAAAAUGUCUGUCCAAAAUAGGUCUUGUAUUACUUGCCUAUAAAGCACAGAUUUGUUACAGAUACUCUGGGACUUUUCUAUGUCAGAGCUGCUGACUGUCUCUCAAGCACGUUUUCCUUGAGUAACUUUCUGUUAGCCUUUGUGUUUCUGCCAUCGGACUGUGCUUCCAGGAACUGGCAGUUCUGCGUAACCGGCCAUUUGCAUUCAGAGCUGCAAGUACUCUGUGAAGCCUGCUGCCUAAAACUGGAGUUUCCCCAGGAAAUUGCUCACCUAAAAGAAACAACAGAGGAAUUGAACAGUGUUUCACCCAAGGAGCUGCGGGAGGGGUUUGCAGUCAGAGUUCUGUGUGCAGGAUUUCUCAUAGAACAAGUGGAGCCCAGAUGUUCUCAGCAAAUGGCUUUCAAAACAGUUGAGGCCAGUGUCAAAUUUCCAGGCACGUGAUGGAGCUUGGAGCCAAGUUUGGGGUUACUGUUGUGUUUACCCAAAGUCUGUAAGCUGAAUUGCACCAAAGGCUGUGGGUGGGUGGAAUGAAAUUCUCUGUAACAAAUAUUUGAACGGAUGUGUGGUUUAUCUUAUUUACAGGACUUUGAGCUUUGAAGAAAGGCUGCCGUGUUUCUGUUAUUGUAAUAUUUAAGGCAUAUUCAGCUCUCUCUUGCUCGCUGGAUUUAGAUCGGGCGUUGCGCUCUAACUCAGAUGUGUUAGUACUCUAACCAUUAAGAAACCAAGCGUUUUAAAGCCAGAGGGGAACCAUUUCUAUAGAUGAUCAAUGAAACACUGCACAUUCUUCAACGCUCUGCCUUGUCUGACUGCAGUGACCUCUGCCCAUGCAGAGGAACGCCUCUUGACAAAGGUCGACCUGGGUGCCUAAGUCACAUGCUAAGAUCUUGCUAAGGCAGUGAAUCAGCAAAAAUCCAACUCCCACUUCUACAAGCUCAGAAUUUACUUUUGGUGUGUACUGUCCAGCGUUACACAGUGUCUGCCACUCACUUUGUUGAGAAACUCUGAAGUGUGCAGAAACAGAGCACAUAUUUUUUCUGUAUCGAAGUAUACCUUGACCUCUGCCAACCAAUUCUUUGACUUGAUUGCUUCUGUAUAUCUUCUCUAUAUAUCCUGUGUAUCUAAAGAAAUGUUUGACAAAGGAGCUUGGACUAUUUUUCUAAACUGAAAUUGUUGUCUCAAGCUGCCAUGUAAGGAAACUAAGUGUUAUUGUCCUUGAGAUGGCUGACUUUCAGAUCUGUGCUUGACAUAUAGUAGUUAAGCUGUAAACAAUGAAAAUCUUGUUCCGUUGUUUCAGAUGGAAUCUGAAACAGAGAUUGUCUUCAACAAUUUGAGGCUUGUGUGGGUAAACAAUACACUGACUUUUGCCUGUGGGCAGCAUGAAGAAUGCUUCUGCUUCACACCAGCAAAUAGCCAAGAGGUGACAUAGCUGCAAAGUAAGGCUCUGCAUGCUGUCACAUAAGUUGAUGGAUCAGCCCCUGGGCAGCUGUGAUGUUUGUGUGCAAAAGGAUACUGAAAAAAAUAAUUUGGACUGCCGGGCUCUUUUUCCUCAAUACACCAAGAUCUUUCAUCUAUUGCCUUUGAAUGAAAAGGGCCAGGAUCUCCCUACUACUUUGAAUAGUUUAAUGAGUAAUGGCCAGGUAUGCAAUUAGUUACUACUGAAAGCAGUAUUACAGAAAGUAACGUGCAAAGCAUUGCCAGAUGCAGAAAAUGAGCUUGCCAGUUAACAGAUGUGAGUGUCAUUUGAUGUGAAGCCCAGAUAGAGCAUGAUAAUGCUUCUGCCAGGCUGCUUCCCAAGAAUGCCCAUAACUGCACUCCCGGAGGAUGAAAGAGGGCUUAACCCAAGCCAAAGGAAAACAUGAUGAAAUAAAGUUAAAACACUGUGAUGGUGGUUUGAGACAGAGAAGUUUUGGUUAUAGCUAAACCUGAACUCUUUUAAGACAAGUGUGAGACAGGCCUUCUGUUUGUCCCCAAGACACCAUGAUACACGGCCUUUCAACCCAACGUUUCUUAUUCUGGCCAAGCAAAUCUGCUGCUGUCAAUGUUGAUGUGCAUGUUUGUGCAACUUGUGAUUGAUCUAAAAAGCAGAAUUUACAACUUCCCUUAUCUUACUAACAUUUGAUCAUGGGUGGCACAGACUGUUCAAACUGCAGAGGAAAUAUUCCUGUUAUUAAUAGGCUAUUUGCUCAAUUUCUUACAAAUUGUGCUGUUGCGCAGCCUUUCAUAAGACAAUGUACUGAGGAUUUAUGCGUGCUUGGUCACAAUGAGAUUGGAAAAAAAAUAAUGGGCAACUUUCUUUUCUUAGUUCACAGUGUGCCUUUGCCAGCCACAGGCAGAAGGGUCAGGUGGCAAGAGAAUGCAGACAGCAGGAACAUGUAGAAAAAAAUCGUUUGGAAGUAGGUUCAAGGUUAUUCCUUCUGGAAUACUGAACUGUGCUCUGCAAUCAGCUGGCAAUGUAGAGGCCUGCCUGAGCGUAAAGCUAUACAGAGGUGCUUUGAGAGGACUACUGCCUUUAAACACACCUCUCGAGCCAAAUGCAAGGUUUCAGCUUCCAACUGCUGAAAAUACCACACUGUGUAAACAAUAAUGCAAGUCUGCCCAGCGGUUACAACUUUUUUU